ACUUAAGCAUAUCAAUAAGCGGAGGAAAAGAAACCAACAGGGAUUGCCCUAGUAACGGCGAGUGAAGCGGCAAAAGCUCAGAUUUGAAAUCUGGUGUCAUUUUGGUACCCGAGUUGUAAUCUGUAGAGGAGUAUUCGAGUUUGGCAUUGGCUAAAGUUCCUUGGAAGAGGGCGUCAGAGAGGGUGAGAACCCCGUGUUAAGCCUUUGCUUUUUCUCAUGUGAAUCUCCUUCAACGAGUCGAGUUGUUUGGGAAUGCAGCUCUAAAUGGGUGGUAAAUUCCAUCUAAAGCUAAAUACUGGCAAGAGACCGAUAGCGCACAAGUAGAGUGAUCGAAAGAUGAAAAGAACUCUGAACAGAGAGUUAAAUAGUACGUGAAAUUGUUGAAAGGGAAGCACUUGCUACCAGACACACUUGCAGCUAAUCAGCCUUCAUUUUUGGAGGUGCACUUGGUUGUAUAUGGGUCAGCAUCAGUUAUAGCGGAGGGAUAAAGACCUAAGGAAUGUGGCUCCUCUCGGGGAGUGUUAUAGUCUUGGGUGUAAUACUUUCAGUUGUGACUGAGGAUCGCGCCUUUUGGUGAGGAUGCUGGCAUAAUGGUUGUAAGUGACCCGUCUUGAAACACGGACCAAGGAGUCUAACAUCUAUGCGAGUGUUUGGGUGUCAAAACCCUUACGCGAAAUGAAAGUAAAUGAAGGUGGGAACCGUAAGGUGCACCAUCGACCGAUCCUGAUGUUCUCGGAUGGAUUUGAGUAGGAGCAUAGCUGUUGGGACCCGAAAGAUGGUGAACUAUGCCUGAAUAGGGUGAAGUCAGAGGAAACUCUGAUGGAGGCUCGCAGCGGUUCUGACGUGCAAAUCGAUCGUCAAAUUUGGGUAUAGGGGCGAAAGACUAAUCGAACC
rnacentral:rRNA from 1 species